CCUACGGGUGGCAGCAGUGGGGAAUAUUGGGCAAUGGAGGCAACUCUGACCCAGCAACGCCGCGUGAAUGAUGAAGGUCUUCGGAUUGUAAAGUUCUGUGAUGGGGGAUGAACACAAUGACGGUACCCCAAUAGCAAGCCACGGCUAACUACGUGCCAGCAGCCGCGGUAAUACGUAGGUGGCAAGCGUUAUCCGGAAUGACUGGGCGUAAGGGGUGCGUAGGUGGUUUAGUAAGUUGGCGGUGUAAUGCCGGGGCUCAACCUCGGCGCUACAGCCAAAACUAUUAGACUAGAGUGCAGGGGGGGUAAGUGGAAUUCCUAGUGUAGCGGUGGAAUGCGUAGAUAUUAGGAGGAACAUCAGGGGCGAAGGCGACUUACUGGACUGUAACUGACACUGAGGCACGAAAGCGUGGGGAGCAAACAGGAUUAGAUACCCGGGUAGUC
rnacentral:rRNA from 1 species